rnacentral:misc_RNA from 1 species
GAUGAAGAACGUAGCGAAAUGCGAUAAGUAAUGUGAAUUGCAGAAUUCAGUGAAUCAUCGAAUCUUUGAGCGCACCUUGCGCUCCUUGGUAUUCCGAGGAGCAUGCCUGUUUGAGUGUCAUGAAAUUCUCAACCUUUUCAGCUUUCUUUGUUGAUCAGGCUUGGAUGUGGGAGUAUGCGGGCUUCUCAGAAGUCGGCUCUCCUGAAAUGCAUUAGCGGGACCUUUGUUGCCUGGCUUUGGUGUGAUAAUUAUCUACGCCAUUGUGGUCAAGCAGCUUAAAAUGAGGUUUCAGCUUCUAACCGUCUCCCCUGAGACAACUUUUUGACAAUUUGACCUCAAAUCAGGUAGGACUACCCGCUGAACUUAAGCAUAUCAAUAAGCGGAGGA